AAUGCUUCUCCGAGGCCGAAUAAGAGUGCUUGAAACUGGACAUUUUGGACACUUGACAAAGAGGACCACUGUUGAGGAUGGAAGCCUCUCACCUGUGCGUCAGGUAGAACGGAGACGACGUCGGCAGAGCCGCCACGAUCCAUCAACUUGAAGUUCGCUUCUCCGGGCCACUCCCGCGGGUUGUGAUGGAGCGGUGUGGAAGACGUGCGGUCACCGGUCACAGCCAUGGGAUUCACCCGGCGGUGGGAGGUACGCCGCACAGUAAUGCGGAAUACAUCACAUAUCCGUCACGUUUAGACUGAUAGUCGGAUAGUGUAGCCUCCACCAGGCCUUCUUACGGGGGUCGUAGAGUUCGGCAAAAAAA